AAGAGAGAUGGCAUAUGUCACUCAACGCUGGCUGCUUUCCUAUCUCCCUCUGCCACACCAGCCCCAGAUGACCCAAAAGAAGAAUAAGAAUCUGAGGGAGAUUCUCCAAAAUCUAGAGGCUGCCAAAUCUGCAAAAUGAAGAUCCUUUUUUGCACCUACUGUGUUGAAAGAGUUUCUUGAACAGCAGCCGAAUUCACAAUAAAGCUGUGGACAUGA
rnacentral:lncRNA from 1 species